UUUUUGCGGUUCUUUUAAUCUUAUGCAAUCCUAAAAUUAAACAUUCUUCUCGCAGAAGCCUUCGGCCAUGGAUUUCAAGUUCUAAUAAUAAUAGCUCGUUUCGGAGGUCCUUUUUUGCUAGUGUUUUUUCUGGCUGUGUAAAUAUCCUGAUGCAAAUGACUCCUGAUGUCCGAGAAGCUCUAAACAUUAACGCAACCGAAAAUGGAAUCGCUGCUAUAACCAAGAUACUUCAAUAUAAUAGCAGUCAAGUUGAUGUAAAUGAACUAUUACCACUUUGGUUUUCUUACCCGUUUGGGAAGAUGAAGAAUUGCUUCAUUGCUAUGGAUUUCUUCUAUCUCUUAUUGGACAGCAAGCAUUUUAAAAAUUGGCCUUAAUUGUUAAUUGUUAAUUACCCAUUUUCUUCUAUUCAUCAACAGUAAUCACCCAAUGAUCAUGGGCGAAAACAAUUCCAAUCUUCCUAGAAUAGCUUAUGUAUUUAUGGAAAUAUUAGCCUGAAACGCUAUUACAUUGUCAUCUGAAGUUCGAGUCAUCGAUUACUCAACAGGAAGCUUUGAAGCAAGUUCUCAAGGUACAAGUCUCAAGUACAGAAGUCUCCAUGUGGGUUGUAAUUGGCCAUAAUUUAUGUACCGACUGUAAACAAACAAAAAAUCAUUGACGUAAUGGUUGGCAAGAUGGAUAAGUGUGUGGCUAAUAAUUUGAAUUGAUUUAAACUUACAUUCCAAAAAGCGUCCCACCUAGAUGAGCAGCGUGGUCAAAUAAUUUCCAACGCCUGAUUAUACCCAUUGUAUCAAAGGCUAUUAUACCGCUAAUACCAUAUUCAGCUGGAAAUAACGAGUUUGGGAUGAAUAAUAUUGCCAGUUUAGCAUCAGGAUUAAUCAUACAAGAAGCUGCUAGGAUUCCAAGGAUAGCUCCUGACUAAAAAAUGAGGAAGAGUUUAUUAAUUUAGUAAUGUGUUCUUGAAACAAAUAUUCUUGAAUAUUUUCGCACUUUUCAGAUUCUUAGGAUAAAAUGAAACAACUUUCAGCUCCAAGGGAGCGCUGAUGUAUGCCUCUACAGCAUUUGUGGACAAUACUAAUCAAUGAAGCAAUUGAUUAUAAUGCGAAUAAUUUACAAUGAACGAUAAUAUUAUUAGGACGAAAAAAAUGAAAAUAACUUUGGUUUUUCUCUUUCUAUCAAAAUGUUCAUGAAAAAGUAUUCUUUUCAAUCAACUGUGAUUAAUUUCAAUGAAGAGGAAGAUGAAAAGUGACUGGCAAUCGGUUAUGGCCAAAUGCCUUGGCGCCCGACACUCGGCGAUGUUACCACAAAUUCCUGAUAUUACCAUGUCAGACGCUGGAGAGCCUUCCGGCAUUUUUCUUCCAUGGAGGACUCACAAAUCGGACGUGAUAUGGGAAGUAUUUGUCACCCCGCCAACUCGCCAAUUUUACCAAGAACUAUCACCGAGAGGGUACCAAAUUCUCCAGUUUCUUCUCCCUUCUUUUCGCCAUCUCCAGUUUCCCAUGAGAGCUCACCCCAAAAAUCAUCCACAGGUUCACCACAAGUUUCGCCUGAACCAUCACCACGAUUUUGUCUCGAAAGUCACUUAGAGACUCGAUUCAACCCUCACUCACGGGCUCGCCUCAGCCUGAAGAAAUAACACACAACUCCAUCUAGACCUAGACAUCGCCAGACAACCUCACAAAAUGAGAAACUCAUACCGCUACAGAUUGACUCGGACUCGUGUCACGCUAAAUUGAUUUAAAUUUAAAUUUUUCAACAUCUCAUCCCUUUAUAUUAUAAUAUUUACUUUCUCUAAUUUAAUUUUCUUGAAUUGUUUUUUCAUUUUCCACUUUUCAUUUUUCAAACUAUUAUUUUACCUUAAAAAUGUAACUUUAUUUUUUCAUUAUUGUGAACGGUUGUAUAUUCCGUACCCUGCAGUGCACUGCGAGUGUAUUUGUUGAUUCACUCUGCACAGUAUCGAGUAGUUUCCUUUGGGAUUAUCGGUAUUCCUGUAACAAGGUGAAAUGAAAUGAAUAAAAUGAAUUUUAACGGUUA